rnacentral:rRNA from 1 species
UACGAAGGGGGCAAGCGUUGUUCGGAUUCAUUGGGCGUAAAGGGUGCGUAGGUGGCGUGGUAAGUCGGGUGUGAAAUUUCGGAGCUUAACUCCGAAACUGCAUUCGAUACUGCUGUGCUUGAGGACUGGAGAGGAGACUGGAAUUUACGGUGUAGCAGUGAAAUGCGUAGAGAUCGUAAGGAAGACCAGUGGCGAAGGCGGGUCUCUGGACAGUUCCUGACACUGAGGCACGAAGGCCAGGGGAGCAAACGGG